CUUCUAUUACCACGUCAGACAGAACACAUCAAACGAGAGACAACCAAACAGCAGCCUAAAGAAAGCUGAGAAAAAUGGGUUCCACUCAUCCAACAGUGCACAAUUUUCAUUUGCUAAAUUUGUGCUUGACUUUUCGUCAGCGCUCAAGAGAGAAAUACCAGGGAAAGUACAAAAUGUAUUCUGUUGCAUACCCCACUGGCAGCAGGAAAGCAAGUCUUCUUGUCACCAACUCACAUACCAUCAACACCAGCAUUCCAGGCCCCUAAGAAAUCUUUUCCACCUUUUCCCAGGUGCAGCUAUUUUGCCAUCUUUUUUCCCGUUUCCAACUCCUUUGUGACUAAUCCAUUUGGAAAGGAGACCUAAGCUGAGAUUGCUUCUCAUCACCAUUGUUGCCAUCAAUGUCCAUAACAGAUCUGUCCUUUGCUUUGUCCAUAUUCAAAGCCUCCCCAUCAUCCAGAGUUCUACCCUUUCUCUUCUUCUUUCUCUUCCGAGAGUGAUUUUCAUUAGCAGAUUGGUUAUUGUCAAACACCCUAUACACAUCAGACAGCAAAUUCUGCACACUAACAAUAUUGGCUUGCCUCUGAUUUUCCUUAUUUUGCAGAGACCCAUCGCGUUCAAUGUGAUUAGACUUCAACUCUUCUUGGCUGGAUUGAUCCUCUUUGAUGACAUUGGUAUCCUUACCACUUUCAACUUCAAGGGUUUUAUCUUUUCUUUUUCUCUUUGGCUUUAAACCAUUUUCAGGGCCCACCUGAGUGGAAGGCAAUUGGGAAUUCCCUCGCAAGACAGCCUUACUCUCAUCAUUUUCUUGCUUCUCAUGUUCUUCAUUUUUCAACAAGACAUCUUGCUCUAUGUUUUCA
rnacentral:misc_RNA from 1 species